rnacentral:rRNA from 1 species
AAUGAACGUUGGCGGCGUGGAUUAGGCAUGCAAGUCGUACGGGUCGGUGUAGCAAUACAACGGCAAGUGGCGAAAGGGAGAGUAACGCGUAGAUACCUACCCUCUGGUCGGGGAUACCGCGGCAUAACCGCAAGUAAUACCCGAUAAUAUCUCCGGAUCAAAGGUGUGAUUCCGCCGGAGGAGGGGUCUGCGUUUCAUCAGCUUGUUGGUGAGGUAAUGGCUCACCAAGGCUAAGACGAAUACGGGGUGUGAGAGCAUGCCCCCGCUCACUGGGACUGAGACACUGCCCAGACACCUACGGGUGGCUGCAGUCGAGAAUCUUCGGCAAUGGGCGCAAGCCUGACCGAGCGACGCCGCGUGCGGGAUGAAGGCCUUCGGGUUGUAAACCGCUGUCGAGGGGGAUAAAGUGCAGGUGGGUACUCCCAUCUGUUUGAUAGAUCCCUGGAGGAAGCAUGGGCUAAGUUCGUGCCAGCCGCCGCGGUAACAC